rfam:Rattus norvegicus chromosome 1, whole genome shotgun sequence.
GGGGAUUUGGCUCAGUGGUAGAGCGCUUGCCUAGCGAGCACAAGACCCUGGGUUCGGUCCCCAGCUCCG